rnacentral:pre_miRNA from 1 species
GACUUGUGGUCUGGUCUCCUACCGUUUUAUAGAUAAGAGAUCAUUCGACAGGUCCAA